GCCAGUUUUGCUGAGUGGUUAAAGCAUCAGCCUGAGGACCAAAGGGUCACGGGUUUGAUUCCUGUUAAAGGGCA
rnacentral:tRNA from 1 species